GGUUAAGCGACUAAGCGUACACGGUGGAUGCCCUGGCAGUCAGAGGCGAUGAAGGGCGUGCUAAUCUGCGAUAAGCGCCGGUAAGGUGAUAUGAACCGUUAUAACCGGCGAUACCCGAAUGGGGAAACCCAGUGUGACUCGUCACACUAUCAUUAACUGAAUCCAUAGGUUAAUGAGGCGAACCGGGGGAACUGAAACAUCUAAGUACCCCGAGGAAAAGAAAUCAACCGAGAUUCCCCCAGUAGCGGCGAGCGAACGGGGAGGAGCCCAGAGCCUGAAUCAGCAUGUGUGUUAGUGGAAGCGUCUGGAAAGGCGCGCGAUACAGGGUGACAGCCCCGUACACAAAAGCGCAUGUGCUGUGAGCUCGAUGAGUAGGGCGGGACACGUGGUAUCCUGUCUGAAUAUGGGGGGACCAUCCUCCAAGGCUAAAUACUCCUGACUGACCGAUAGUGAACCAGUACCGUGAGGGAAAGGCGAAAAGAACCCCGGCGAGGGGAGUGAAAAAGAACCUGAAACCGUGUACGUACAAGCAGUGGGAGCACAGGUUUACCUGUGUGACUGCGUACCUUUUGUAUAAUGGGUCAGCGACUUAUAUUCUGUAGCAAGGUUAACCGAAUAGGGGAGCCGGAGGGAAACCGAGUCUUAAUUGGGCGUUAAGUUGCAGGGUAUAGACCCGAAACCCGGUGAUCUAGCCAUGGGCAGGUUGAAGGUUGGGUAACACUAACUGGAGGACCGAACCGACUAAUGUUGAAAAAUUAGCGGAUGACCUGUGGCUGGGGGUGAAAGGCCAAUCAAACCGGGAGAUAGCUGGUUCUCCCCGAAAGCUAUUUAGGUAGCGCCUCGUGAAUUCAUCUCCGGGGGUAGAGCACUGUUUCGGCUAGGGGGCCAUCCCGGCUUACCAACCCGAUGCAAACUGCGAAUACCGGAGAAUGUUAUCACGGGAGACACACGGCGGGUGCUAACGUCCGUCGUGAAGAGGGAAACAACCCAGACCGCCAGCUAAGGUCCCAAAGUCAUGGUUAAGUGGGAAACGAUGUGGGAAGGCCCAGACAGCCAGGAUGUUGGCUUAGAAGCAGCCAUCAUUUAAAGAAAGCGUAAUAGCUCACUGGUCGAGUCGGCCUGCGCGGAAGAUGUAACGGGGCUAAACCAUGCACCGAAGCUGCGGCAGCGACACUGUGUGUUGUUGGGUAGGGGAGCGUUCUGUAAGCCUGUGAAGGUGUGUCGUGAGGCAUGCUGGAGGUAUCAGAAGUGCGAAUGCUGACAUAAGUAACGAUAAAGCGGGUGAAAAGCCCGCUCGCCGGAAGACCAAGGGUUCCUGUCCAACGUUAAUCGGGGCAGGGUGAGUCGACCCCUAAGGCGAGGCCGAAAGGCGUAGUCGAUGGGAAACAGGUUAAUAUUCCUGUACUUGGUGUUACUGCGAAGGGGGGACGGAGAAGGCUAUGUUGGCCGGGCGACGGUUGUCCCGGUUUAAGCGUGUAGGUGUGUGUUCCAGGUAAAUCCGGUUCACUUUAACACUGAGGCGUGAUGACGAGGCACUACGGUGCUGAAGCAACAAAUGCCCUGCUUCCAGGAAAAGCCUCUAAGCAUCAGGUAACAUCAAAUCGUACCCCAAACCGACACAGGUGGUCAGGUAGAGAAUACCAAGGCGCUUGAGAGAACUCGGGUGAAGGAACUAGGCAAAAUGGUGCCGUAACUUCGGGAGAAGGCACGCUGACACGUAGGUGAAGUGAUUUACUCAUGGAGCUGAAGUCAGUCGAAGAUACCAGCUGGCUGCAACUGUUUAUUAAAAACACAGCACUGUGCAAACACGAAAGUGGACGUAUACGGUGUGACGCCUGCCCGGUGCCGGAAGGUUAAUUGAUGGGGUCAGCGCAAGCGAAGCUCCUGAUCGAAGCCCCGGUAAACGGCGGCCGUAACUAUAACGGUCCUAAGGUAGCGAAAUUCCUUGUCGGGUAAGUUCCGACCUGCACGAAUGGCGUAAUGAUGGCCAGGCUGUCUCCACCCGAGACUCAGUGAAAUUGAACUCGCUGUGAAGAUGCAGUGUACCCGCGGCAAGACGGAAAGACCCCGUGAACCUUUACUAUAGCUUGACACUGAACAUUGAGCCUUGAUGUGUAGGAUAGGUGGGAGGCUUUGAAGCGUGGACGCCAGUCUGCGUGGAGCCGACCUUGAAAUACCACCCUUUAAUGUUUGAUGUUCUAACGUGGACCCGUAAUCCGGGUUGCGGACAGUGUCUGGUGGGUAGUUUGACUGGGGCGGUCUCCUCCUAAAGAGUAACGGAGGAGCACGAAGGUUGGCUAAUCCUGGUCGGACAUCAGGAGGUUAGUGCAAUGGCAUAAGCCAGCUUGACUGCGAGCGUGACGGCGCGAGCAGGUGCGAAAGCAGGUCAUAGUGAUCCGGUGGUUCUGAAUGGAAGGGCCAUCGCUCAACGGAUAAAAGGUACUCCGGGGAUAACAGGCUGAUACCGCCCAAGAGUUCAUAUCGACGGCGGUGUUUGGCACCUCGAUGUCGGCUCAUCACAUCCUGGGGCUGAAGUAGGUCCCAAGGGUAUGGCUGUUCGCCAUUUAAAGUGGUACGCGAGCUGGGUUUAGAACGUCGUGAGACAGUUCGGUCCCUAUCUGCCGUGGGCGCUGGAGAACUGAGGGGGGCUGCUCCUAGUACGAGAGGACCGGAGUGGACGCAUCACUGGUGUUCGGGUUGUCAUGCCAAUGGCACUGCCCGGUAGCUAAAUGCGGAAGAGAUAAGUGCUGAAAGCAUCUAAGCACGAAACUUGCCCCGAGAUGAGUUCUCCCUGAGACUUAGAGUCUCCUGAAGGAACGUUGAAGACGACGACGUUGAUAGGCCGGGUGUGUAAGCGCAGCGAUGCGUUGAGCUAACCGGUACUAAUGAACCGUGAGGCUUAACCUU
rnacentral:rRNA from 1 species